GUCUGAUGGAGCAACGCCGCGUGAACGAUGAAGGCCUUCGGGUCGUAAAGUUCUGUUGUAAGGGAAAACAAGUGCCGCAGGCAAUGGCGGCACCUUGACGGUACCUUGCGAGAAAGCCACGGCUAACUACGUGCCAGCAGCCGCGGUAAUACGUAGGUGGCAAGCGUUGUCCGGAAUUAUUGGGCGUAAAGCGCGCGCAGGCGGCCUCUUAAGUCUGAUGUGAAAGCCCCGGCUCAACCGGGGAGGGCCAUUGGAAACUGGGAGGCUUGAGUAUAGGAGAGAAGAGUGGAAUUCCACGUGUAGCGGUGAAAUGCGUAGAGAUGUGGAGGAACACCAGUGGCGAAGGCGACUCUUUGGCCUAUAACUGACGCUGAGGCGCGAAAGCGUGGGGAGCAAACAGGAUUAGAUACCCUGGUAG
rnacentral:rRNA from 1 species